UACGUAGGGGGCAAGCGUUGUCCGGAUUUACUGGGUGUAAAGGGCGCGCAGGAGGGCUUGAUAGUUAGAGGUGAAAUCCUGUGGCUUAACUGCAGAACUGCCUUUAAUACUUCAAGUCUUGAGUGCGGAAGAGAGAGACGGAAUUCCAGGUGUAGUAGUGAAAUACGUAGAUAUCUGGAAGAACACCAGUUGCGAAGGCGGUCUCUCGGUCCGUAACUGACACUUAGGCGAGAAAGCGUGGGGAGCAAACAGG
rnacentral:rRNA from 1 species